CAAAAUAUAGUUUUAAUAAAAAUUUUAAUUUUGGAGAUUAAAGAAAAAUUUAAUAAUUUUAUUUUGA
rnacentral:tRNA from 1 species